rnacentral:rRNA from 1 species
UGUUUGAUGUUCUAACGUGGACCCGUGAUCCGGGUUGCGGACAGUGUCUGGUGGGUAGUUUGACUGGGGCGGUCUCCUCCUAAAGAGUAACGGAGGAGCACGAAGGUUGGCUAAUCCUGGUCGGACAUCAGGAGGUUAGUGCAAUGGCAUAAGCCAGCUUGACUGCGAGCGUGACGGCGCGAGCAGGUGCGAAAGCAGGUCAUAGUGAUCCGGUGGUUCUGAAUGGAAGGGCCAUCGCUCAACGGAUAAAAGGUACUCCGGGGAUAACAGGCUGAUACCGCCCAAGAGUUCAUAUCGACGGCGGUGUUUGGCACCUCGAUGUCGGCUCAUCACAUCCUGGGGCUGAAGUAGGUCCCAAGGGUAUGGCUGUUCGCCAUUUAAAGUGGUACGCGAGCUGGGUUUAGAACGUCGUGAGACAGUUCGGUCCCUAUCUGCCGUGGGCGCUGGAGAACUGAGGGGGGCUGCUCCUAGUACGAGAGGACC